rnacentral:rRNA from 1 species
UACAGAGGGGGCAAGCGUUGUUCGGAAUUACUGGGCGUAAAGGGCGCGUAGGCGGCCUGCUAAGUCGAACGUGAAAUCCCCAGGCUUAACCUGGGAACUGCAUUCGAGACUGCAUUGCUAGAGUAUGGGAGAGGGAAGUGGAAUUCCGGUGUAGCGGUGAAAUGCGUAGAUAUCGGAAGGAACAUCAGUGGCGAAAGCGACUUCCUGGACCAAUACUGACGCUCAUGUGCGAAAGCGUGGGGAGCAAACAGGG